rnacentral:rRNA from 1 species
CAUAGCGACUAUCGUGGCAUAUCAAUAAGCGGAGGAAAAGAAACUAACAAGGAUUCCCCUUAGUAACGGCGAGUGAAGCGGGAAGAGCUCAAAUUUGAAAUCUUCAAGGGUUUACCCUUUACGAAUUGUAGUUUAAAGAAGUGUUUUCUGUUGAAGUUUUGGUAAAAGUUCUUUGGAAGUAGGACAUCAUAGAGGGUGAGAAUCCCGUAUUUGACCGUUACCUUCCAGCUGUGUGAUACACUUUCAAAGAGUCGGAUUGUUUGGGAAUGCAGUCCAAGAUGGGUGGUAAAUUUCAUCUAAAGCUAAAUAUUGGCGAGAGACCGAUAGCGAACAAGUACCGUGAGGGAAAGAUGAAAAGAACUUUGAAAAGAGAGUUAAACAGUACGUGAAAUUGUCAAAAGGGAAGCGUUUGACACCAGUGUUGUUUAGUUGAAAAUCAAUUCAAUAAUUUUUGAUUUUGAGUAGUAUUGACAUCAUCAGCUUGCUGCUUUCUUUUCAGAAAUUAUUGAAUGCACUUUUCAGUUAACAAGUCAACAUCAAUUUCUUUUGUUGUAAAAGGGUAAGAGGAAGGUGGCUUGCGCUUCGGCUCAAGUGUUUAUAGCCUUUUACCCCUGCAAUCGGAGAGAUUGAGGUCUGCAGCGUAGAUCCUUCGGGGUUAGAUACAUUUGUGCUAAGCUAUAGCCUUGUAUAGACAACUUGUUGACUAUGCUCAGUCAUGUAGCUUACUCGCUUAUGCUAUUUUACCUACGCUUAGGAUGUUGACGAGACUGUCGAUCUC